GGCUGAAAUUCGCCUUCAUGAAGCCGGAAUUGCUAGUAAUGGCAGGUCAGCAUACUGCCGUGAAUACGUUCCCGGGCCUUGUACACACCGCCCGUCACACCAUGAGAGUUGGGGAUACCCGAAGCCUGUGAGCUAACUUUUAGAGGCAGCAGUCGAAGGUAGAAUCAAUGAUUGGGGUGAAGUCGUAACAAGGUACC
rnacentral:rRNA from 1 species